rnacentral:rRNA from 1 species
GACGAACGCUGGCGGCGUGCUUAACACAUGCAAGUCGAACGAGUGGCGAACGGGUGAGUAAUACGUGGGUAACCUGCCCUCUUUUUGGGAUAAGCCUUGGAAAUGGGGUCUAAUACCGAAUAAAGGGGGAUGGGCUCGCGGCCUCUCAGCUGGUUGGGGGGGUGAUGGCCUACCAAGGCGGGGACGGGUAGCCGGCCUGAGAGGGUGACCGGCAACAUUGGGACUGGGAUACGGCCCAGACUCCUACGAGAGGGAGCAGUGGGAGAUAGGGCGCAAGGGGGGAAAGCCUGUUGCAGCCGUGCCGCGUGGAUGAAGAAGGCCCAAAGGUUGUAAAGUACUGUCGCAAUCGAACGGGUAGGUGGAGAAGAAGCGCCGGCUAACUACGUGCCAGCCGCCGCGGUAAUAC